GAAUGCUGACAUAAGUAACGAUAAAGCGGGUGAAAAGCCCGCUCGCCGGAAGACCAAGGGUUCCUGUCCAACGUUAAUCGGGGCAGGGUGAGUCGACCCCUAAGGCGAGGCCGAAAGGCGUAGUCGAUGGGAAACAGGUUAAUAUUCCUGUACUUGGUGUUACUGCGAAGGGGGGACGGAGAAGGCUAUGUUGGCCGGGCGACGGUUGUCCCGGUUUAAGCGUGUAGGCUGGUUUUCCAGGCAAAUCCGGAAAAUCAAGGCUGAGGCGUGAUGACGAGGCACUACGGUGCUGAAGCGACAAAUGCCCUGCUUCCAGGAAAAGCCUCUAAGCAUCAGGUAACAUUAAAUCGUACCCCAAACCGACACAGGUGGUCAGGUAGAGAAUACCAAGGCGCUUGAGAGAACUCGGGUGAAGGAACUAGGCAAAAUGGUGCCGUAACUUCGGGAGAAGGCACGCUGAUAUGUAGGUGAAGCGACUUGCUCGUGGAGCUGAAAUCAGUCGAAGAUACCAGCUGGCUGCAACUGUUUAUUAAAAACACAGCACUGUGCAAACACGAAAGUGGACGUAUACGGUGUGACGCCUGCCCGGUGCCGGAAGGUUAAUUGAUGGGGUUAGCGGUAACGCGAAGCUCUUGAUCGAAGCCCCGGUAAACGGCGGCCGUAACUAUAACGGUCCUAAGGUAGCGAAAUUCCUUGUCGGGUAAGUUCCGACCUGCACGAAUGGCGUAAUGAUGGCCAGGCUGUCUCCACCCGAGACUCAGUGAAAUUGAACUCGCUGUGAAGAUGCAGUGUACCCGCGGCAAGACGGAAAGACCCCGUGAACCUUUACUAUAGCUUGACACUGAACAUUGAGCCUUGAUGUGUAGGAUAGGUGGGAGGCUUUGAAGUGUGGACGCCAGUCUGCAUGGAGCCGACCUUGAAAUACCACCCUUUAAUGUUUGAUGUUCUAACGUGGGCCCCUUACCGGGGUUGCGGACAGUGUCUGGUGGGUAGUUUGACUGGGGCGGUCUCCUCCUAAAGAGUAACGGAGGAGCACGAAGGUUGGCUAAUCCUGGUCGGACAUCAGGAGGUUAGUGCAAUGGCAUAAGCCAGCUUGACUGCGAGCGUGACGGCGCGAGCAGGUGCGAAAGCAGGUCAUAGUGAUCCGGUGGUUCUGAAUGGAAGGGCCAUCGCUCAACGGAUAAAAGGUACUCCGGGGAUAACAGGCUGAUACCGCCCAAGAGUUCAUAUCGACGGCGGUGUUUGGCACCUCGAUGUCGGCUCAUCACAUCCUGGGGCUGAAGUAGGUCCCAAGGGUAUGGCUGUUCGCCAUUUAAAGUGGUACGCGAGCUGGGUUUAGAACGUCGUGAGACAGUUCGGUCCCUAUCUGCCGUGGGCGCUGGAGAACUGAGGGGGGCUGCUCCUAGUACGAGAGGACCGGAGUGGACGCAUCACUGGUGUUCGGGUUGUCAUGCCAAUGGCACUGCCCGGUAGCUAAAUGCGGAAGAGAUAAGUGCUGAAAGCAUCUAAGCACGAAACUUGCCCCGAGAUGAGUUCUCCCUGACUCCUUGAGAGUCCUGAAGGAACGUUGAAGACGACGACGUUGAUAGGCCGGGUGUGUAAGCGCAGCGAUGCGUUGAGCUAACCGGUACUAAUGAACCGUGAGG
rnacentral:rRNA from 1 species